UCAGGAAUACUGACUAUUAAUCAGAGGGGAAAGGUAUGCUGCAAAAUUGCUGGAGAGCUCUUCAUCAUUCCAAAAAUUUGUGUACUGGCAAAUUUUUAGAAUGGAAAAUAGUAAUACGGAGGCUCAGCGGCAGCAAGCUACAUACAGUGGAGCAAAACCUCGUAAGGCGUAACCAACAGAUCCUGCAAAUCCCAGCAGUGCUCACUGUAUGUUGGUGUGAUGGAGGCCCCCUCCCUGCAGCACAGUUCCUUGCCAUCAGAUAGAAAGGAUAAGAAAAUUUUGAUUGGUUUACAAUGGAAUAGAAUUGAAGACCCAGAAAUGAACCCACACACCUAUGGUCACUUGAUCUUCGACAA